GGAGAGAUGGCAGAGCUGGUCGAUUGCGUCUGAUUCGAAAUCAGAUGUACCCGCAAGGGUACCGGGGGUUCGAAUCCCUCUCUCUCCGCCA
rnacentral:tRNA from 2 species